UAGGAGAGCGUUCUAAGGGCGUCGAAGCAUGAUCGCAAGGACAUGUGGAGCGCUUAGAAGUGAGAAUGCCGGUGUGAGUAGCGAAAGACGGGUGAGAAUCCCGUCCACCGAUUGACUAAGGUUUCCAGAGGAAGGCUCGUCCGCUCUGGGUUAGUCGGGUCCUAAGCUGAGGCCGACAGGCGUAGGCGAUGGAUAACAGGUUGAUAUUCCUGUACCACCUAGUAUCGUUUUAAUCGAUGGGGGGACGCAGUAGGAUAGGCGAAGCGUGCUGUUGGAGUGCACGUCCAAGCAGUAAGGCUGAGUGUUAGGCAAAUCCGGCACUCAUAAGGCUGAGCUGUGAUGGGGAGAGGAAAUUGUUUCCUCGAGUCGUUGAUUUCACACUGCCGAGAAAAGCCUCUAGAUAGAUAACAGGUGCCCGUACCGCAAACCGACACAGGUAGUCAAGAUGAGAAUUCUAAGGUGAGCGAGCGAACUCUCGUUAAGGAACUCGGCAAAAUGACCCCGUAACUUCGGGAGAAGGGGUGCUCUUUAGGGUUCACGCCCAGAAGAGCCGCAGUGAAUAGGCCCAAGCGACUGUUUAUCAAAAACACAGGUCUCUGCUAAACCGUAAGGUGAUGUAUAGGGGCUGACGCCUGCCCGGUGCUGGAAGGUUAAGAGGAGUGGUUAGCUUCUGCGAAGCUACGAAUCGAAGCCCCAGUAAACGGCGGCCGUAACUAUAACGGUCCUAAGGUAGCGAAAUUCCUUGUCGGGUAAGUUCCGACCCGCACGAAAGGCGUAACGAUUUGGGCACUGUCUCAACGAGAGACUCGGUGAAAUCAUAGUACCUGUGAAGAUGCAGGUUACCCGCGACAGGACGGAAAGACCCCGUGGAGCUUUACUGUAGCCUGAUAUUGAAAUUCGGCACAGCUUGUACAGGAUAGGUAGGAGCCUUUGAAACGUGAGCGCUAGCUUACGUGGAGGCGUUGGUGGGAUACUACCCUAGCUGUGUUGGCUUUCUAACCCGCACCACUUAUCGUGGUGGGAGACAGUGUCAGGCGGGCAGUUUGACUGGGGCGGUCGCCUCCUAAAAGGUAACGGAGGCGCUCAAAGGUUCCCUCAGAAUGGUUGGAAAUCAUUCAUAGAGUGUAAAGGCAUAAGGGAGCUUGACUGCGAGACCUACAAGUCGAGCAGGGUCGAAAGACGGACUUAGUGAUCCGGUGGUUCCGCAUGGAAGGGCCAUCGCUCAACGGAUAAAAGCUACCCCGGGGAUAACAGGCUUAUCUCCCCCAAGAGUUCACAUCGACGGGGAGGUUUGGCACCUCGAUGUCGGCUCAUCGCAUCCUGGGGCUGUAGUCGGUCCCAAGGGUUGGGCUGUUCGCCCAUUAAAGCGGUACGCGAGCUGGGUUCAGAACGUCGUGAGACAGUUCGGUCCCUAUCCGUCGUGGGCGUAGGAAAUUUGAGAGGAGCUGUCCUUAGUACGAGAGGACCGGGAUGGACAUACCUCUGGUGUACCAGUUGUCGUGCCAACGGCAUAGCUGGGUAGCUAUGUAUGGACGGGAUAAGUGCUGAAAGCAUCUAAGCAUGAAGCCCCCCUCAAGAUGAGAUUUCCCAACUUCGGUUAUAAGAUCCCUCGAAGAUGACGAGGUUAAUAGGUUCGAGGUGGAAGCGUGGUGACACGUGGAGCUGACGAAUACUAAUCGAUCGAAGACUUAAUCAA
rnacentral:rRNA from 1 species